rnacentral:rRNA from 1 species
UACAGAGGGGGCAAGCGUUAUUCGGAAUUAUUGGGCGUAAAGGGCGCGUAGGCGGCCUGGCAAGUGGAUGGUGAAAUCCCUCGGCUUAACCGAGGAACUGCCAUCCAGACUGCUUGGCUUGAGACCGGGAGAGGUGAGUGGAAUUCCCAGUGUAGCGGUGAAAUGCGUAGAUAUUGGGAGGAACACCAGUGGCGAAGGCGACUUCCUGGCCUGUUCUUGACGCUGAGGUGCGAAAGCGUGGGGGAGCAAACAGGG